AUUGAACGCUGGCGGCAGGCUUAACACAUGCAAGUCGAGCGGAGAGAGGUAGCUUGCUACUGAUCUUAGCGGCGGACGGGUGAGUAAUGCUUAGGAAUCUGCCUAUUAGUGGGGGACAACAUUUCGAAAGGAAUGCUAAUACCGCAUACGUCCUACGGGAGAAAGCAGGGGAUCUUCGGACCUUGCGCUAAUAGAUGAGCCUAGGUCGGAUUAGCUAGUUGGUGGGGUAAAGGCCUACCAAGGCGACGAUCUGUAGCGGGUCUGAGAGGAUGAUCCGCCACACUGGGACUGAGACACGGCCCAGACUCCGACGGGAGGCAGCAGUGGGGAAUAUUGGACAAUGGGCGGAAGCCUGAUCCAGCCAUGCCGCGUGUGUGAAGAAGGCCUUAUGGUUGUAAAGCACUUUAAGCGAGGAGGAGGCUACUUUAGUUAAUACCUAGAGAUAGUGGACGUUACUCGCAGAAUAAGCACCGGCUAACUCUGUGCCAGCCGCCGCGGUAAGAC
rnacentral:rRNA from 1 species